UAAAGGGGCAGCAUCUUAAAGGCUGAGACGGCUUCUGGGUGGACCCGCGUCUUGCAGCCUUCUCAUUUUACAGAUGAAAAACUGAGGCUUGUCCAAGAUCACACAAAACUGAAAGGGUGAGGAACACGAACACAGGGAGUUAGAGUCCCACAUGCUGAUAACUCCAUCAAGAGAGAAGAAAGAUUUUUCUCUUCCAGCUGCAGAAUGAGAAUCUCCAGGGAAGGAGUAAUAAUAAAAUAGGUCCAGUCUGAGUCUUAAAAAAGGAAGCAAAUAUAAUAGCUCCAAACAUGAUUACAGAUGGAUUCUUCACCGCUGGGCCACCUAGGAAGCCCCAUGGGUAAACUGAAAAAUGAAACUCCUGGACUUGCAAACCCAAGAGCAAAACCAUAGCUUCCUAAUCAGUUUAUUUCCCAGGAAGCCCUCUCUUAA